rnacentral:lncRNA from 1 species
AUUACAUGUCAAAGAAGGAGGUGGGGGAUGUUGCAGGGGUCCUGAUUCCAAAAUCCUGGGGGGCUAAAAACAUGAUUUUCUGAGGUCCCAAAUUAAAAAAAAAAAGAAAUCACGAAAGAACAUCCUGGAUCCCAAAAUUCUGAGCUUAAAAACACCCAAUCUAGACGUCCCGAAAAAGUCCUGCCCUCCAUCAAGAAAAGUUAAUAAUCAUAUACAGCAAC